UGCUGCUGCUGCUCAGGAGACCCAAGAUGCAAAACAUCACAGAAGCUGUUUUAAAUGAAAUUGGAGGGCAUUUUAAAGGCGGCUCUGUGUUGUGUGUGCAGUAGGACUCACGUCACUGAAGUGGAAGGAAAUACCUCUAAUCAUUUUGGCUUGAAAACACAAGUGGCAUGCAGGAAUAUUAGAAACCAAUCAUUUAAAAACAGAAAUGGGAAGCAGAAACUUGUGAAUUUGCAUGGUUCUGUGGCUGUGUAGCCAUGAAGAAAGGAAUGCUGCCUACAGAGCUGAGCCCAGCUUCCACUGAAAGCCAUGGAAAAGCAUCUCUAGUACACAUUUUCAACUUCCAAAGGCUUACACUGACUUGCAUGGACUGAGCAGUCCCACUGCAGGCAAUACCCAACUCCAAGCCAACAUAAAUCAAGUGCACAAGUACAUUUUCAUGGGAGCUGCAUCAUACUUUCAAUCUUUUUCUUCUCAAUGCCUUUCCUCUUCCCAAACCACCACCCCAGCAGUAAAACCCAUCUCAGCAGGGCACUUCCAACUGAAGCUCCUUGGGCUCGGAAUAAUUAAGGGUUUGCCUGUAGCAGGACUCCAGGGAUGAGGGUCUAGGCUUACAUCAGUCUGGAAAUGCAAACUCCUACUGAGCUGCUCCAAGAAAGAGGCUUCUUUUGCAGCUUCAGAUGCAUUUAUUUUAACACAGCUCACAAAAAUGGAGGAGAUAGUUAUAAAGUCAAGGUUUGGCCUACCUUACAGUUUCCUUUGCCCCUCUUCAAGAUACUUACAAACAUUUCCUACCCACUUUAAAAACCCCCACUCUGGACACUUUGGUGAAACAGGAGAGGCCAGUAGGAGAGGUUUUAGCAGAAACACAUACUCACUGCAUGCUGGCUACUUCAGGCUGCUCCGGUGUUGGACUGCUCAGCUGAUCUUCCCAC